rnacentral:rRNA from 1 species
GACGAACGCUGGCGGCGUGCUUAACACAUGCAAGUCGAACGGAAAGGCCCUGCUUGCAGGGUACUCGAGUGGCGAACGGGUGAGUAACACGUGGGUGAUCUGCCCUGCACUUCGGGAUAAGCUUGGGAAACUGGGUCUAAUACCGGAUAGGAGCCAUCUUUAGUGUGGUGGUUGGAAAGUUUUUUCGGUGUAGGAUGAGCUCGCGGCCUAUCAGCUUGUUGGUGGGGUAAUGGCCUACCAAGGCGGCGACGGGUAGCCGGCCUGAGAGGGUGUACGGCCACAUUGGGACUGAGAUACGGCCCAGACUCCUACGGGAGGCAGCAGUGGGGAAUAUUGCACAAUGGGCGCAAGCCUGAUGCAGCGACGCCGCGUGGGGGAUGAAGGCCUUCGGGUUGGAAACUCCUUUCGCUAGGGACGAAGCUUUUUGUGACGGUACCUAGAUAAGAAGCACCGGCUAACUACGUG